UAAACCUAAUUCUACCCCACUCUCUCGAGCUCCAUUCACACUCCAUUCUAUUCAACUAAAACGAGCUUCUUCCUCUCUCCUUCCACGAGCUUCUUCUUCCGCCGUUGCCGCCGCCGCUUGCGUCGCGUCUCCUCAUCGCACGAGUUUCAAUCACCGCUACCCCUUCGCUUCAUACACCUCCGCCAAUUUCGCUCCCAGAGCCUCCCCCUCGUCCCCACGCGCUUCUCCUCCUCCUUUGGCCACCAUCGGCGUUUUUCUUCCACCUCUUCGCCACUGUGUCCAACAUCGUCAUCCGUGAGAUUCUCCUCGGAGCAACCACCAGGCUCCCCCGGGCAACACUCCACGGCUAUAAAGAGGUCUUGUUCCUGAAAUACCUGAAGAUCUAUACCACUUGAUCAAGAAGGUUGUCUCAAUCAGGAAGCACUUGGAGAGAAAUAGGAAGGACAAGGACUCCAAAUUCAGGUUGAUUUUGGUAGAGAGCAGGAUCCACCACCUUUCACGUUACUACAAGAAAACCAAGAAGCUUCCACCCAUAUGGAAAUAGAUUUGACGCUUACUCUAUCAACACUUCUACCUGUAGUUUCUAUAAAUAAUGACAGCAGAGAUCAAUCAGAUUUCUCAAUUGGACUUAAGAUGUAUAAUGAGGUGCAACGUUGCUUUCUCACAGUUGGCUUGGUGUACCCAGAUGAUUUGUUUCUGUUUCUUGUAAAUGUAAGUUGUUGAAAAUCUAGUUGAAGUGAAUUUUCUAUUCUGUUGAUAAAAAAGGAAAAGAAUAGUAAGCCGAAGGGAGAUGAAGUUAUACCAUGUAAAGCUAAAUAACUUGCUAGAAGAAAUUAGACCCAAACUAAAUAUCAGAUGAAGGAAGGCAAUCAGUUGAACUAGUUUCUGGUUUGAUUUAAAGUUGAAUCAUGUCCUAUUUCUUUUACGUAUUUUUGUUAGCCUGUGUGUUAUGUUGAGGAAGGUGCCUUAUUUGCACUGAUGUUUCUUCCUUUUCCAAGGAGAAAAUUAUUUUGUUUCUCCUAAUAUGAUAUAAAAGUGUUGCCUUUUUGGCCUACUUUUCUUUUUCUUUCAGAAAUGCAGGGUGAAGGAAGAAACAUUGACCUUUGGUGGACUUUGUGUUUUGAAGCAUCUUUUACCAAGUUAAUUGUGGUUAUGGCUUCACAUUGUUACUUGGUUGGUUCAUCUGGAGAGUUGUUCAUUGAGUAUCUUGUACGACACUGUGCUUUAACUGAAAAUAAUCAUGGUGAUCUUGAUAUCCUAAAUAAGAGAGUAGAGGUAAAAUUUCUCCCCAGUCCUUGCUUCUCAAUAAACAAGUACCACUUGUGUACAAUGAUAAGACCAUGAUUGAAACUAAAAUUUACUUUCUUAAAUGCCAUCUUAGCUUGGUGAUGAUCAUGCCAGAAACUUAUAUUGUUGUGCCAUGAUUCAAUUUAUAAAAGGAACUAUGCCACAAACAUAUAAUUAGAAAGGGUGAUGAGCAAGGCUAUAUAUAUAUAUAUAUAGGACCCACAUAAAUUACAUAACACCCAACCUUUUUUAGAUAUGUUAAUCAUUCUGUAGACAAAAUAAAGAAACCUAAAUUACACUUAGCUUCUCUUUACCAACUUCACAUGGAUAACGUACCAUAAACAUAAAAAAGGGGUGUACUUCCCAUGCAUCUUUAUUAGUUCUUUAGUCUUUACCUUUUUUUGGUCGGUAUUUAAAUUCUUUAAUUCUAAAUAUAUUUUGUUUAAAUUCUUUAAUUCUAAAUAUACUCUCUCUAACAUGAUCUCAAUUGCAAGAACCCUAAGGUCAUUCUUUAAAUUCUUUAAUUCAAUCAUGGGAAUGGUAGGCAUGUCAAUGAUCAUUUAUGAUUUAUGGAUAAUUAAAAUUUGGCUAGAAGAAAGAUAAGAUGUACCACCUACUUUUGAAUUUGUAUCUGAGACAUGGUAAUCAAUUAUACUUCAAUUUAUAUAUUUAUUUUAUUCUCAAAAUAAAUCUUCCUUCUGUUAUCAUUCUUCAUUAGUAAUAAAUUAAUAAUGACAUUAGUACUAAUGAUUAGAACCAUGUUAUAUACUAACUAAUAUUAGAGCUUUUGAUUUGAAGUAGUGGUUUAUGCUCCUAUGCAUUCACUUUUUGUUGCAGGUUUGCUUAUACUUUAAUUGUUUUCAUGUGUGGUAACAUGUCUAGGACAUAUGGCAGCAGGUAGCAUGAAUAGUUAUUGUCUUUCAUGUGUAUCCUUUUUCAUUGUUUGUGUCAAGUGUAUACGGUAGAAUGGAACAGCUAACAAAUUGAAUCACACAUAAUACUUCUCAAUUUGUGAUUAUUAUUCUUGUAAUUAAGUUAUUAAAGAAAAUAUUAAAGAAAAAAGACUUUUUAUUGGUCAACUAAGUGGAACAUUUGGCUUGCUGCACUUUCUAUAAUUUUGAGAUUAAUGACCUUAAUUCAAAGCCAGUAUAUGGUGAGCAUGAUCAUAAUUCUUCUGCUGAAGGGUGUAGUAACAGCGGACAUUCUCCUCAAUUCUGAUUGGGAGAAGGACUUGCCUGAGGACCCAACUGGAAAAUUCAAUGACUUCAAGGAUUUUGUGGAGUCAAAUUUUGAUGUUUGCAAAUGGAUAAUACUAGUGACCAUCUCAGCACAGGUGUAUGACAAACUUUUCGAACGUUAUGCUCAUAAAGAAGGCUUUGAAUGCAAGUAUAAAUAGCGCAACUACGGCUAGAGUUGAAAUGGCAGAUAUUACCACUAUUGAUGAUGUAGUUAGGCUUGAUUGAUCUCUGCUGGAAGCAUCAUCACUAUUAUAGUAAUCAAGAGGGCUUCCACAAAGCUGUUGGUUCCCUUCAAAUGCCUCGUCCGGCCAAUGAGAGAAUUUCCUGUCUAAUUUUUCUUGAAGGUUAUUGUAGGAGAGAUCAAGCACUCCCAAGCUGCUCAUGUCACCAACUUGUGGAGGGACUUCUCCAGUGAGUUGAUUGUGGGAAAGAUCAAGUGCUUCUAAUUUCAACAGAUUCCCAAGAAAAGCUGAGAUUUCACUUGAGAGAUUGUUGUAUCUGAGGUCUAAAUUGAUCUGGAGAUUUUUUAGUUUUUCAAUUUCUGUUUCAGUAUGGAAAAUAAUACAGCUUUUAGUAUGGUUGAUAGUUUUAGUAUGGUUGAAUAAUACAUUGAGGAUUAUAGUUGAUGUAUCAAUACAUUUUGUUUAUAUUUUGAAUUAUAUUGACUUGCUUGUUUAUUAUAG